rnacentral:rRNA from 1 species
CUUGGUCAUUUAGAGGAAGUAAAAGUCGUAACAAGGUAUCUGUAGGUGAACCUGCAGAUGGAUCAUUAAUAGUCUCUCAGUUGGGCAUCUGCCCGACUGUGUAUCUUGUGAAUCUUUUUUGUGGUAAUGUGUUGAUAGUAGAGUUUGUUGGUUAAUUUUGGUGUGUGUGUUUGUUGCAUUUAUUUGCAAUGGGCACCAUCUAUUAUUACUGGCCACUGCCUUUAUUGUUUACUGCAUUGCUGCAAAAAACAAAGAUAUGUCAAGUUAAUUACCAAAAAAAAUAUACAAAUGUGGGCAAAGGAUCAUUUGGUUCUUGUAACGAUGAAGAACGCAGCGAGUUGCGAAACGUGAUGCGAGACGCAAAAUCUGUGAGACAUCGAGUUUUUGAACGCAGCAUGCGCCGGUGAAGCAAUUUACAGGCAUAUCUGUUUGAGUGUUUUAACCACUCUUCCAGGCAAAUUGGUGGUACGGCCAAGCAAUUGGUGUGCCGCCGCUGUUUGGGAGUGUCUUGCCUGCUCGCAGGCGUGUUUGUGCUGUCUGGCCACAGCAUUAAUCUCCGAGUGUUUGUUGUGAAUAUAUAUAGUUUGGGUUGUAUCAGUUCUGCUGGUUAUGCUCUUUCUGUUACAUGCAAGCCUUUGGCACUAAUCAUUUACGGAUGAUGUGUGCACACGGGUGGGUGAGGCUGGAAACGCGGGAUGUUGCAUUUGCUUGUCACUUGUAACUUUUGGCUUUCUUGGCGCACACACCCACAAAAGAUAAACCUCAUAUCAGAUAAGACUACCCGCUGAACUUAAGCAUAUCAGUAAGCGGAGGAAAGGAAACUAACAAGGAUUCCCAUAGUAACUGCGAGUGAAGUGGGAAAAGCUCAAACUUGUAAUCUAUGUCGACCCGACAUCGAAUUGUAGUUUGGAGCCUGAAGGUGCGUGUGCUACUGGCUGCUCCAACUGUUGUGGAAUCAACGGCCGCAGAGGGUGAUAGCCCCGUCUGAGCAGCUGGAAGCGGAUCCACCACAGGCCAAGAGUCGGAUUGUUUGGGAUUGCAGUCCAAAGCGGGUGGUAAACUCCAUCUAAGGCUAAAUAUAGACAAGAGACCGAUAGCAAACAAGUACCGUGAGGGAAAACUGAAAAGAACUUUGAAAAAAGAGUUAAAAGGACGUGAAAUUGCCUACACGGAAGCGAUUAGGAUGGCAAAGCCAAGCGUGCUUUAUAGGUGAGGACUAACAAUGUUGGUCCAGCCCCUAUAUUUUUCGCUUGGACAGUCCGGUUGUUUUGGGCUGCUGCCACUUGUGGCCAGCAUGCUGCCGGAGCACUGGACUGCGCAAACCUAAACGACCCGUCUUGAAACACGGACC